AAUCGCCUGCUUCCUUCUCCCAUUCUCAGCCACUCACUCUCUCGCCCUCUAUCUUUCUCUUCUCUUUGUCUACUCGCUUGCAUCCCGGCGGCGGCGGCUCCGACGAGCAAGCUACGCAGUGUUGUCCCAGAGACCGAGCUGCAGCACUGCGCACGGGGCCUUGCAUCCCGGUGGCGGCGUCUCCGACGAGCAAGCUGCGCAGUGGUGAAUCCCGGCCAUGGAGGAGGAAACCGUGCGGGGAGCUUGCUGCAAGACGCGCCGCAAAAGGGAGGAGCAGGCCACGGCGAUGGUGACGCGCAGGUGGCUCGGCAGGACGGGGCGUGCGACCUCUACAAGGGCCGUUGAGUGUACAAGAGGCCCGUACGUUUUUCUUUUCUUGCUAUUUUCAGUUUUGUCCGGAUCUAUGAAGUUUCGAGCAGGGCCGUACCGGCAAAUCCGAGGGCCCAGUUCAAAACAAUGGACCGGGGCCCGGUGCAGACUCCGGUGGGCACUGACGUGGCGGGCGGUGAGGCACUGGGCAGGUCGGCACUUGGCAGGAUCAUGAAUACUAAGUGACAACAGUCGGCAAGUGCGACGUGCCAUGCGAAAGGAAGCGGCAAGCGAUACGCCUACGACGAUUCAUCUUCCAGGAGCAAUUUGGGCCACGUUUUGGCACAAAUUGAGAGAACAAUGAACUAAAUUAAAACCUCCACAUAAUUAUACUUAAUGUAUACCUAGUAUUUUAGGGGGCCCUUCAAAUUUGGGGGCCUGUGCAGUCGCACAGCCCGCACAGUCCCAAAAACGGGCCUGGUUUUGAGAGAGUAAUUUGAGUUUGAAAUUUCGGGUGUUCU